rnacentral:piRNA from 1 species
UGGCACUGCUAAACUACAACCCC